rnacentral:rRNA from 1 species
UACGAAGGGGGCUAGCGUUGCUCGGAAUUACUGGGCGUAAAGCGCACGUAGGCGGCUUCUUACGUCGGAGGUGAAAUCCUGGAGCUCAACUCCAGAACUGCCUUCGAUACUGGGAAGCUUGAGUUCGGGAGAGGUGAGUGGAACUGCGAGUGUAGAGGUGAAAUUCGUAGAUAUUCGCAAGAACACCAGUGGCGAAGGCGGCUCACUGGCCCGAGACUGACGCUGAGGUGCGAAAGCGUGGGGAGCGAACAGG